UUUUUUUUUUUUUUUUUUUUUUUAUUUAUGAAAAAAAAAAAACUUUGCAUUAAAAUGAAAAAUCUAUAUGUACAAUAUAUCUCCAGAAUUUGGAGCCAUGCACCCCCUAAGCUCAUAAAUGAAGAACACAAGAGGAAUUAAACCAGCAAAGCCUGGUAACUAAUUAACAAAUUAAUCAUAUAUACAACCAAGAAAUAUUGCUGUCUAAUUCACCUCUGGAAUACUCUGGAGUGCUGGUUUCCAUGACCUAUGAUGAUGAUGAUGAUCCUCUAUCUCCAUUAUUUCAAAAUUAUCACCAGAGUUGAUCAACCGUGCAAGAACUUGUUCCAUAGACAAACCCCGCAUCUCGGCUCUUUCCAUUAACUCUUCCAGCUCCCUCUUUGUAAUCUUGAUCUUCACCUCCCUCAUAGAAGCACUUGAACUAGAACUAGAACUAAACCCUCCCAUCUCUUCGCCAAGUAGCCUUUGCCUUUCUAUGAUGGUAUUAUGAUUCUGAGGUCUCUUCAUUUCUUGUCCCACCGAACCCCAGUCGUCACCAGCCCACACC
rnacentral:misc_RNA from 1 species